AUCUCCUUUGACACCAGACUUGAUGCUCUUUUCCUAGUGAGAAUUCAGUGAAUGGCCUAUAUGAUUGAUUGUUGACUUUCCCAUCUCCAGGGUGGCCCCGGGAGUGGCAAGAGUACACUCUAGUAGGGUUCUUGUUCUGACAUUGGCUGUCUAUGGGAAAAAAUGGCAUUAUUUUGGAUAGGCUCUCAAGGCAAAAGUUCCCACCAUAAUUCUACAACCAAAGUUCUUCUUCUUGAUAUGAUGAGAUUGAGACCUGUCCAGCAGAGGUUGAAUGCGAUGUGACCAGAUGGCCAAAGAAAUGAUGAGUCCUCUAUAACUAACAGCAAAAUAAAUAUCCUAAGCAAAUGUAACCCCUAUGUUUAUUUGCACCUGCUCCAACCCCAUGCUU